UACGUAGGGGGCAAGCGUUGUCCGGAUUUAUUGGGCGUAAAGAGCGUGUAGGCGGCCAGAUAGGUCCGUUGUGAAAACUCGAGGCUCAACCUCGAGACGCCGAUGGAAACCAUUUGGCUAGAGUCCGGAAGAGGAGAGUGGAAUUCCUGGUGUAGCGGUGAAAUGCGCAGAUAUCAGGAAGAACACCCGUGGCGAAGGCGGCUCCCUGGUCCGUUACUGACGCUGAGACGCGAAAGCGCGGGGAGCGAACGGG
rnacentral:rRNA from 1 species